UACGUAGGGGCAAGCGUUGUCCGGAUUUAUUGGGCGUAAAGAGCGUGUAGGCGGCUAUGCAGGUCCGCUGUGAAACUCGAGGCUCAACCUCGAGACGUCGGUGGAAACCGCAUGGCUAGAGUCCGGAAGAGGAGAGUGGAAUUCCCGGUGUAGCGGUGAAAUGCGCAGAUAUCGGGAAGAACACCCGUGGCGAGGCGGCUCUCUGGACGGUACUGACGCUGAGACGCGAAAGCGUGGGAGCGAACGAGG
rnacentral:rRNA from 1 species